GACGAACGCUGGCGGCGUGCUUAACACAUGCAAGUCGAACGAUGAAGCCGGAGCUUGCUCCGGUGGAUUAGUGGCGAACGGGUGAGUAACACGUGAGCAAUCUGCCCUUGACUCUGGGAUAACUGCGGGAAACUGUAGCUAAUACCGGAUACGACACCUUGGGGCAUCCCAGGGUGUGGAAAGAAUUUCGGUCAAGGAUGAGCUCGCGGCCUAUCAGCUAGUUGGUGAGGUAAUGGCUCACCAAGGCGACGACGGGUAGCCGGCCUGAGAGGGUGACCGGCCACACUGGAACUGAGACACGGUCCAGACUCCUACGGGAGGCAGCAGUGGGGAAUAUUGCACAGUGGGCGAAAGCCUGAUGCAGCAACGCCGCGUGAGGGAUGAAGGCCUUCGGGUUGUAAACCUCUUUUAGCAGGGAAGAAGCGAAAGUGACGGUACCUGCAGAAAAAGCACCGGCUAACUACGUGCCAGCAGCCGCCUAA
rnacentral:rRNA from 1 species